rnacentral:tRNA from 1 species
CGACCAAUGUCUCAAAUCGUUAUGCGCUCUUCGUCUCUUCCUCUCUAAGAUUGGUCAGAAUUGAUGGUGCAAAUAUGCAAUCCAGAAUGAACUAGGAUAGCUCGUCAGCCUCAAAAUAUCUCUGUCCCUUUCUGUAAAUGUCUGAAUCACGACAAGGUAUAUAAGUUUUUUUCGAUGCAAUUUUGUAUAUACAUGUAUCUAUUUGCGGUUACGUUGCUUUAAUUAGAUCUCGCCUUGAUUUUUCCAUUGAUUUUAUAUAUGAUCUGUAUUUUUCAUGUUAUUAUCAUCUGUCUCCUUUACAGAGCAUAGAAAUUCAAGCAUUUUUUCAUUUAUAUUUGUAUUUUAUUGAAUUUUCUUCAAAACCGAUCGCAUAGCGGAGUGGAUAUCGCGUUAGACUCCGGAUCAAAAGGUCGUGGGUUCGAAUACCACUGCGAUCGUAUCCUUCAGUUUUUUCCCUUUAAUUUUUCGUCUGUUUUCAACAUUUUCUCCCCCGCUUUUAAAGUGACAAAUGAAUUGAAAUUCCGUCAGUUUUUUGUACAUAGAUGAUAUGCUUACUGCAUUUAUAAUCCCAACACAUUCAGAAACUUGAGGCUAUAUUUGAACGCUCAGAUAACUUGUUGGAGUGCAAUUCAAUGCUAUGGAAUAGAUUGAAGUCUUUCUCAACGUGACAUUGUUUGUUAAUUUCUAAAAAUAAAACAGAAUUAGCCUUUCCUUAUUGAUUGAGUAAAUAUGGAAUACUACAUUAUCUCUCUCUCUCUCUCUCUCUCUCUCUCUCUUUUUAAUAGUUUGGUGGAACAUGUUUAGAGAAUGUUGUCUAUGAAAUUCUUGGGAGGUCUUGAAAUAUGAUAAAAAGGUACUGUGCAAUACCAUGGACAUUCUUUUAAUGAUUUUUGCAUAGUUAAAUAUGUUAGAUAAUGUUGUCUAUAAGAUUCUUGGUGGAAUUCUUGAAAAUAUUCAUGGAAAGUAUCUUAAUACAAUGAGAAACUCAGUUCACUAUUGUUGAAUUAAUAAGUGCUAGAGUACCAUUAGAAUUCUAUUCACGAUUGUUACAUAAUAUAGUGGAACACAUUUAGAUAAUGGUGUCCAUAAAAAUCUUGGAAGGUCUGAAGUGCUUGAUAAACUCAAUUUGCAAUUUUCAAAUUAAAACUGUUGUUAAUGAGUGCUAUAGAACAGUUAGAAUACCAGAGUUUUGCUGGUUGCUUGCACUUCUUACACAAACAAAAUAUUCAAGUUCACAUUAUUAUAUGCAAAUUAUGUAACUAUUAUCAUUUUUGCUCAUAUGAUUUCUGGCUGUAUUGAAAACGUUUGGACAGAACCUUAAAUUUUUAAAAAAAUGCUAGAUAAGGCUAGUGGUCGACCAAGGUUCAGUUUUUGCUUUGAAGUGUGGAAUCAGUGCUGUGUUUAGAGCCUUUAAAAGUAAUCAAGAAAUAUCACUUUUAGUCAUAAAUUAAAAGUUACCUGUUUUAUCUUUUGGUUUGGAGGCCUAAUUAUAGUGACAGUGUUGGGGACCCAUUUCGAUGCAUGUGCUUAGAAGGACUAACCUUCCUUUUUUUUUUUUUUUAUUUAUUUAUUUAUUUUUUUUAUGAUGUACAUAAUUUGCUUAUCCGUCGAGGCAAUGGAGUCCAAUAAAAUACAUGACCACAACAACUAUGUUUGUCAAAAUAUAUUUGAAAAGCAAUUACAUGAAUUUUUUAUGGAUUUUUCCUUCGAAUUCAUGUUAUACACAAGGCAGUGUUCAAUGCCUUCUCUGAAGACAUUGCAUGGCUUGAAAUGCACUAUUUGAUAAGACGCCAAGCAGAAAGUUUGAUAAUUGUGUGAGUUACCAUUAGCGAAUGUAUGCAGAAAGAUUGAUUAUUUCAGACAGCUUUGUUCCAGUUGCUUCACUGUUUCUACUUUCAGCAUACCAUGUAAUCCAAAUACAUGGUAAGAUAUUCCAAAUUGCGUAAAAUUCAGAACAAUUUCACAUUUCUGCUGUUUAAUGUCUAAAAUCAGGAAAAAGCCCAUUCUGCAUUAACUCAAUUGAUGUGAAACAUUGUGUAUAUUGAAAUGCUUGCUCGAGAGGAACAACUGGCCGCAGGAACUACAAAAUUGAUCCUUUCAAUAGAUUAAACACUCAGAUGCUACAUAAGAACUUGCGUAUUCAAGGACAAUAUGUUUAAGUUGUGCACUGAAUCUCUUCCUUUCUCUAAAGAACCAGCUUUCCUUUUUAAGUUGUGCACUAAGUCGAGGGAGAUGUGUGCUCCUGAAGUUUCGCCUCCUGCCACCUUAAAUAUGACUGCUGUAAUUUCCAUGGAACCUGUCCUCAAAAGACUAUUAUAUUUGGAACUUUAAUGUUGCAUGAUAUCGCUUUAGUAAGGAGCAACAUUCAAAUUUAUAGUAUUGGAAACAGAAAAAGAGUGAUUGAUGAGAAUCUGAAGUGGCUGACUUCAGAGAGGGUGAAAGUGGAGUGGCCUAAGUAACCGAUCCAACAAUCUUCUGAGUAAUAAUAAACGGUCGAUUGAAAUCAAGGAUAUUUUGGACUUCCCAUUGAGAGAAGGCUGAAACUAGCAAAUUAUGAGGAGGAUCCUGCAAAUGUAGACUUUUCCGGAGUUAUUUCCCUUCUGACCAUUGUUCACUGUUUUUUGAUCAUCAAUGGACCCAAAACUCGAAGGGGUAACAUCAUCUUCUUCUUCCUUGUCUUCCUCCUUUUCAGUUUCUGAUUAAGUUUUCUUUAAUGGGCUUGCUUCUUCAAAUAUAAUAUCGAGGAAAUUACAUAAAACCAAGUACUUAAACUUUCAAAUUCAAAAUUCAGAGGUGAAGUUUAUUUAUACAAAAAUCAGGCAUGAAUUUAACCACCCACCCCACUACAAAACCUAAUCCCCAUCCCCAUCUCGAUUCUCUUCUCCCCAUUCUCUCCUCUCUCUCAACAACAAUGGCGGCACCGACAAGCCUAUUAGCACCUUGCGGCUGCGCUGUGCAACAAUCCUCUCACACGAAGAUUUGCUGUCUAGAGAAGAAUCAUCGCCAAGAAGAUGUCCUACUCAAAGAGAAGACGUAGUCAGAGAUACGCCACAUUGAUCGCCUUUGAGCGUCACUGUGAGCACCUUUGCAUGGUGGUGCUCACAAUGGGUUUCUCAAGCCGGCAUUGCUUCAACGACUUCUAUGCAGCGUGGAUGUAGGUUGUGUUGGUGACGUUGUGAGGUGAUGGCAUGGUGAUGGUGGUGCGGUGGAUCUAGGUAGGAUGGCCGUGGUGGUAAUAGUAAUGGUUGUGCUCAUGUUGGCAGUAGUGAUUUGGGUAGUGUCGGUGAGGUUAGAAGGUGGUGUAUUAUAUUAUUGGGUGUGUUUGAAGGUGGUUCUGACUGUGAUCAUUGACUUGUGUCUUGAUGACAAUUCUUAAAAGUUCUUGUAAUCGUAAUUGUAACGACAUGAUUUUUAUGUCCAAGUAGUUAACUUAUGUGUUGUUCACUUUGGAAGAGCCUGAGCGGGUAAUGAAUAAAUUGAGUAGAUAAAAAUUAGUAUUUAGCGCCUUUAGAGCUCUAUAGAAUUAGUUCAUCUCUCUCUCUC